rnacentral:rRNA from 1 species
GAUGAACGCUGGCGGCGUGCCUAAUACAUGCCAGUCGAGCGAACAGACGAGGAGCUUGCUCCUCUGACGUUAGCGGCGGACGGGUGAGUAACACGUGGAUAACCUACCUAUAAGACUGGGAUAAUUUCGGGAAACCGGAGCUAAUACCGGAGAAUAUAUUGAACCGCAUGGUUCAAUAGUGAAAGACGGUUUUGCUGUCACUUAUAGAUGGAUCCGCGUCGCAUUAGCUAGUUGGUAAGGUAACGGCUUACCAAGGCGACGAUGCGUAGCCGACCUGAGAGGGUGAUCGGCCACACUGGAACUGAGACACGGUCCAGACUCCUACGGGAGGCAGCAGUAGGGAAUCUUCCGCAAUGGGCGAAAGCCUGACGGAGCAACGCCGCGUGAGUGAUGAAGGUCUUCGGAUCGUAAAACUCUGUUAUUAGGGAAGAACAAAUGUGUAAGUAACUAUGCACGUCUUGACGGUACCUAAUCAGAAAGCCACGGCUAACUACGUG